GAUCAUGGCUCAGGACGAACGCUGGCGGCGUGCCUAACACAUGCAAGUCGAACGGAGAAUUUUAUUUCGGUAGAAUUCUUAGUGGCGAACGGGUGAGUAACGCGUAGGCAACCUGCCCUUUAGACGGGGACAACAUUCCGAAAGGAGUGCUAAUACCGGAUGUGAUCAUCUUGCCGCAUGGCAGGAUGAAGAAAGAUGGCCUCUACAAGUAAGCUAUCGCUAAAGGAGUGGGCCGUGCGU
rnacentral:rRNA from 1 species